ACUGGGCAGACCAAAGAAAAUCAAUCCAGUGAAAAUUUGACAGCUUUAACCGAACAGUAUACCUAUUACCCACAACAUGAUGGUGCUGGAGGAAACGGAAGUACCCUUUCAAAAGAAGAACAAUGGCGGGAUUCCAAUAGGAAUAAAGCGUUACUACCCCGUGAAUGUGAUUCGACAAAUGAAGGAAAUGUUAAAAGUGAAAACAAAGGAAAUCCAAGGGAAAAUAUAAAAACAAAAGAAAACACACAAUACAAUGUCAACCUGAAUAUAAGAUCUGGAAUGUUUGUCACUGUAACAGAAGAAAAUGACAAAGAAGAACUUAAUGAUGUUCUACGUUUGAUUUGCGCGUGGCUUAAUAACAGUGCUAAGCUUCCGUUGACUUUCACAUGUUGCACUCAGGUAAACAACAAGGAAACAACAACACAUGAUUUCGACGUGUGGUAUGGCAGGAUUGAAGAAAAAAUAAGGCGUUAUUUUUUUAAAGCAAUCGCGUCAAUCAUUGACAUGAAAGGAAAUUGCAAAUCGGAAAAAAUAAUACUUCAUAUGAAAAAACCUGUUGAACAUUUAUGUUCUUGUGAGACAUAUUUAUACUUUCCAUCUGUAUCAUCUAUUGAAACAAUGGGAAAUCAAGAAGCAAUCAGGAUAUUAAAUCAACGUGGACCACCACAAAACCUAAAGAAAUUAAAAAAAAGAAAGUUCAAUAUGUUUGAGCCAAUGAAUGACCAACGAAAUGAAAACGUUGAUGUUCAAUUCAAAACAAUUACUGGAGAAGGUAUUCUAAACACGCUGGCAAAGACGUGCUUGAAGUAUAUAUCUGCCUUCUGUAAUCACGAGGGAGGUUCAAUAUUUUUUGGAGUUGAAGACAAAGAGGGGAAAGUAGUUGGUGUUCCGGUGUCAUGUGAACAUAGUAUAGAGCAAAAGCUAAAAGAUAAAAUUGACAGUUUAAAAUUUGGUUCGUUUGAUCAGAAAAUGGAAAAGGGUUUCCAUUGAGAUAUUCAUUUUUUGGAAAUUCGUUUGGAUGGUGUGUAUUACAGGGUGAAAGAUGAUAUUGAAAACGUUCUAAGUUACAAAAGAGGACAACAGUUAAAGUUAAUUGAAAAAAAAUAUACUAAGUUGUGGUUAUUUGAAAAACCUAAGCAAAAAACGACAGGACUGGCAAGAGCUGACCAUUUUA